rnacentral:rRNA from 1 species
GACGAACGCUGGCGGCGUGCUUAACACAUGCCAGUCGAACGGAAAGGCCCUGCUUUCGUGCGGUGCUCGAGUGGCGAACGGGUGAGUAACACGUGUGUAACCUGCUCUUCACUUUGGGAUAACUUCAGGUAACUGGGCUUAAUAUCGGAUAGGAUCUCCUGUUGCGUUGUGGGGGUUGGAUAGUCUGGGCGGUUGGGGAUGGACGGGCGGCUUACGAGUUUGCUGGUUGGGUAGUGGCUUACCAAGCCUUUGGCGGGUAGGCGGCAUGGGAGGGUGACCGGCCACAUGGGGACUGAGAGACGGAGCAGACUCCUACGGGAGGCAGUAGUGGGGAGUAUGACACAGUGGGCGGAAGCCUGAUGAAGAGGCGCCGCGUGCGGGAAGACGGCCUUCGGGGUAUAAACAGCUUUCGCUUGUGACGAAGCGUGAGUGACGGUAAUGGGUAAAGAAGCACCGGCUAACUACGUG